rnacentral:rRNA from 1 species
CCUACGGGCGGCAGCAGUGGGGGAUAUUGCACAAUGGGGGAAACCCUGAUGCAGCGACGCCGCGUGUGGGAAGACGGUCCUCUGGAUUGUAAACCACUGUCCCCAGGGACGAAGAUGCCGGUACCUGGGGAGGAAGCUCCGGCUAACUACGUGCCAGCAGCCGCGGGAAUACGUAGGGAGCGAGCGUUGUCCGGAAUUACGGGGUGAAAAGGGAGCGUAGGCGGGGAUGCAAAUUGGGUGUCAAAACUACCGGCUCAACUGGUAGUCGCACUCAAAACUGCAGCUCUUGAGUGAAGUAGAGGCAGGCGGAAUUCCUAGUGUAGCGGUGAAAUGCGUAGAUAUUAGGAGGAACACCAGUGGCGAAGGCGGCCUGCUGGGCUUUUACUGACGCUGAGGCUCGAAAGUGUGGGGAGCAAACAGGAUUAGAUACCCUUGUAGUC